rnacentral:lncRNA from 1 species
GUUUCUCCGCCCACUGUCUCCCUAGCUCCACCUACUCUAUCCUGUCCCUGUCUAGGCUCCUUCGAGAAUGACAGUUUCAGGAUUUGCUUUCCUUUCUCCUCUCUCGGCGCCUAAGAAAACCCGGAAAAGAGAUAUUUUCUUCUCUCCCCGUCUCUCCCACCACUCCCACCCUACCACCCUCGCUCAAAAGUGCACUAGAUGGCUUCUUGGGUAGGAGAAGGAAUGUAUUCAGGAAUGAGCCAAAGACCACCUUCAGGCUUCAGUCUCCAAGUCAAGAGAAAAUAGCUUUCUUCCUGCUUUCAAGCCAGAAAGUUCAGACCUCAGUUGGUCUGCCUCCAAUUGCUUCUCCUGUUCAGAUUCAAAAUAGAAUACUCUUAUUUGAAUGAUAUGUCAUCAGUCUCAGUUACUCCAAACUCCUGCUACAAAAUCAUUCUUAAUUUCUCAUUUCCACAAUAUCUUCCCUUUUUGUCUUUGGAAAAAAGAUGCAACCAGC